ACCUUCACACUCAUGGAGGAAAGCCUAGGACUCCUACAAGUCCAAGUUUAGCCCACAGUACCUAUGGUACUGACCUAUCUCUCUCCUCUCUCUCUCUCCUCUCCUCUCUCUCCUCUCUCUCCUCCUGCAGGGUGGUUGAGGAGCUGACCUGUGCUCUGCGCUGUAAGGAGGCUCUGAUCACUGAGCUGAGUGGACAGAAGAGCAUCCUGGCCCUGAAGGUGGGAGAGCUGGAGGGACAGGUAGUGAACCUCUCCUCAACCCUGCUGCAGAAAGAGAGGGAUGCAGAGUUCUACCAGGAGGAGCUGGGCAGGGAGAGACUACGCAUUGAGCAGGAGAUGCAGGUGAGUGAAUCCUGAAGUGAACACAGAAACUCACUUGAAGCUGGGAUCCUUAAUGGUGAAACUGUCCAUUUGUGAUAUUACAACAACAAACAAGUUAUUGAAAACAGUUUUUUCUCCUCUGACAUCAUCGCACACACGAUAGAAGAGCACAAUAUGUACUGGAAUUUGUUUCACCAUGCUGCGCGUCGCUCCUCAGCUCGGCAACAGAAACAAUAACAAAGGUGAUGGGGCGGCCAGUGGCGCUCUGUCCCCCUACUGCGGAUUCCGUCUUUAAUAUUGCAUAAUCACUAUCAGCUUUGAGUUCUGUAUUAAGUUGAUUAAAGUGUCUGUACUUUGAGGUGCUAGUCCCACACUACUGUUGAGUCAGUACCCACUUCAGCCAGAUCCCACUCUAAGGUGUUGGUGGAGCUUGACCCCUACUGAAGUAUAAACACAAAGCACCUCUUAAACCAGACAGCCACAUACAGAGUGGUAACAUCAUGAGCUACAGAAUAUGUGGUCGGUGGUCACUAUAUAAGGAUAAAUACAUUAUCAAAUUGUAAUCACAUAUAAACUACUUUCUAAUAUAAUUAGGGUUUCUUUGUGGUUAAUUGAAACGCCAUUGUAUUGAAUUCAACGUAAACAUCAUACAUUACCCAUAGUUACCAUAUCAUAUAACAUCUUAGUAUAUAGCAGCUGCUAGAGCUGAGUAAUAAACCGUUCCUAGACCAGUCUGUGUUAGUGUCUCUAUGUCUGUUAAUGCCAGUAUUGUGUUGGUAGCUGUCGGCCCUGAAGGGAGCGGGUCUGGGUUAUUUUAGUCGGUGGUAAACAAAUGAUGUGAUGAAUUUAUGAACAGUCCGCCCACAUUCUCUAUUCUCAUCAGUCACAUUCUUAGAGGGGAGCUUCUCACAUUACACAAUUAACAGGAAAACAGGUAUAUACAGUAACAGGUAUAUACAGUAUGCAGGUAUAUACAGUAUGAAGGUAUAUACAGCAUGCAGGUAUACAGUAAACAGGUAUAUACAGUAUACAGUAAACAGGUAUAUACAGUAAUCAGGUAUAUACAGUAUAAAGGUAUACAGUAAACAGGUAUAUGCAGUAUGCAGGUAUACAGUAAACAGGUAUAUGCAGUAUGCAGGUAUAUACAGUAAACAGGUAUAUACAGUAUGCAGGUAUAUACAGUAAACAGGUAUAUACAGUAAACAGGUAUACAGUAAACAGGUAUAUACAGUAACAGGUAUAUACAGUAAACAGGUAUAUACAGUAUGCAGGUAUAUACAGUAAACAGGUAUAUACAGUAUGCAGGUAUACAGUAAACAGGUAUAUGCAGUAUGCAGGCAUAUACAGUAAACAGGUAUAUGCAGUAUGCGUCUGUGUUGACUGGAGUGGGGUUAGAUAAUAGAAAUAGAUGUGCUGCUGUGUGUCAAAUGAAAUGAAAUCAAACUUUAUUUAAAGUGUCACUAUACCUCACAUGCAGUUGAAAGAAAGCCGCAGUACAGUGUAUGUGUAUCCUGUCAUUUUGUUUGGAUAAUCAUCGUCACUUGUUAGUUUUAGUCAUCUCUUCUCAGUCAUUACCACAUAUUAGUCGUUAUCUAUAGCUAGUCAUUACCAGAGCCAUGUGUUUAGAGAGUUGGGCCAAUGAGGUUUCUGCAUUAUGAUGCAUUCUCAUGUCACUACAACAUUCUAUGGCAGCCAUGUUAGAGCGCCAUUAACAUUACACUGGGAAUAUUUAAACAUUGCUAUGUCACUGUCUAGAAUUAGAACAAUAUUCAACAUUCUACANNNNNNNNNNGGCUACCUGUGGUGCCUAGUCCAACGCUCUAACAACUAGGCUACCUGUGGUGCCUAGUCCAACGCUCUAACAACUAGGCUACCUGUGGUGCCUAGUCCAACGCUCUAACAACUAGGCUACCUGUGGUGCCUAGUCCAACGCUCUAACAACUUGGCUACCUGUGGUGCCUAGUCCAACACUCUAACAACUAGGCUACCUGUGGUGCCUAGUCCAACGCUCUAACAACUAGGCUACCUGUGGUGCCUAGUCCAACGCUCUAACAACU
rnacentral:lncRNA from 13 species